GUAGCACAAUCUCAGCUCACUGCAACCUCUGCCUCCCAGGUUCAAGCGAUACUCCUGCCUCAGCCUUCUGAGUAGCUGGGAUUACAGGCAUGCACCACUGCACCCAGUUAAUUUUUGUAUUUUUAGUAGAGACAGGGUUUCACCAUGUCGGCUAGGCUGGUCUCAAACUCCCGACCUCAGGUGAUCCACCCGCCUCAGCCUCCCAAAGGGCUGGAAUUACAGGCAUGAGCCACUGCGCCCAGCCAUAGGAAGCAAUCUUUGUGCCAGGUCAGCACAGGUCACCAGGCAACACUGCCGCUCACGUAUUGCUGGCAUGGGGCAGUUGCCAGGCUUCCAGCUCCUGCAGUUCACGCAGAUUCUCCUCCUUCAGCUUUGCUGAAUCUAGGGCCAGGUGCGCGUUCACUUAUUUGGUGAAAUGUGCAACCUUCUUCUAAGGGUCACCACAUCGUCCAAGUCAGAGGUGAUGAGAAAUAGACAGGAAUUCCACCUUCUCCUCAAGGGAUCCAUUUGUCCAAGUUUCAGCUGGCUCUUGAUUUGUCCCUCUUCAUAUUGGGUUUUCUUCUCACCUGAUGACCCUGUGGAUCUACAGCAAUCCAAGUCCACAAGUAAACACUGAGGCAACAGCUUUCUGCAAUCUCUUUGUCAGCUCCCACAAUUAUGUGAACUCUAAUUCCUAUAGUAAUUCCCUCUUCUACAUACUAAUGAUCUUGCUUCCCUGAUCAAACCUUAACUGAUACAAUAGGUAAAUAGAAACUGCCAUUUUUCAAGAGCCUACAAUGGGCCCAUAUAUUACCUUAUGUAUCUUCACAACAUCCAUAUAGCAGGCUGAGAUUUUUAACCCCAUUCUACACUUGGGGAAACCAAAGACCAGGGUGGUUAAGUCAUAGGAACAGGCAGAACUAGGAUUCAAACCCUGGUCUGUCCAUCUCCUGAGCCUCAGCUCUUGUCACUUCGUCACUCUGAAACAUAUCACAAGUACAUAUCUCAUUAGCAGUAAAACUGCUGCAAAUGUGAUACAUACUUAUUAGAAAUAGGAAAAACUUUUAGAUAUAUCCCAAGACAUUACCAAAGGAGUGGCAAAAAAAAAAAAGGAGGCUAUCUCCCCCACAAAAGAUAGUAAAACACUGAUGAAAGGAAAUGAAUUGUAGACUUGCUGGUCAUCAGGUAAGUGGCAGAUUGGGCAAACUGGUUUAGGCAAUAUCUCAAGUGCAGGGGUCUGAUCCUUCUGUGUAAGGCAAGGCUGAAAAGAAAUUUGACUUCUGGCAGAAAUGCAAUAGUUGUUUCUCUGCACAGUUUACCACUCAGCAUUCUUCCCGCUGGCCAACAAUCUCUGACAGUCCAACUGGGAGAAAAUCAAAGAAGCCAUUGAGUGAAGGCUGCGCUGGGUCUGUGCCCGAGAGUCACAGGAUCCCAGAACAAAGUGGGAAGGCACGAGCCACAGCGGCCUUCUAAGAAUGCCUGAGCGGCCAGCCCUCGAGGUUUUCUAUUUCCCUAAGGACCAAGGGAAGCAUCUUAGAACAAGGCUAUAGCUGCUCUGUUGACCACAAAGAGCAAAGCAAAUUUAUGUUGCAUGGC
rnacentral:lncRNA from 1 species